rnacentral:rRNA from 1 species
UACGGAGGGUGCAAACGUUGCUCGGAAUUAUUGGGCGUAAAGCGCACGUAGUCGGCUUUGCAAGUCGGUUGUGAAAUCCCCGGGCUCAACCUGGGAACUGCAUCCGAGACUGCAUCGCUUGAACGUCGGAGAGGUAAGUGGAAUUCCGAGUGUAGAGGUGAAAUUCGUAGAUAUUCGGAAGAACACCAGUGGCGAAGGCGACUUACUGGACGACUGUUGACGCUGAGGUGCGAAAGCGUGGGGAGCAAACAGG